UAUGGGGAAGACAUGUCAAGGUCAGUCCUGUUCCAGAAAGUUCCAGAUGUUCUUACUGAGUAUGUGCAGCCUUGGUACAAUGGUGGGUAGCCUCAUCUUUUAUUUCUUGAAUGCUGAGGGUGGUUCCAAUGCCUGGGUCCUUGUUCCAGGUAUUGGUG